rnacentral:lncRNA from 1 species
ACGGCGGUCACUUACUAGGUCGGCGAGGGCCUAGUGGUAGUGUAGUGGGCCGCUAGUGGUCGCCGUUUCCUGGGCGUCCACUAGCUCCAAACUUGCAAUCAAGUUCAAAAGAGAAGGCCCAACUCUACGAUUUUCUGUCUUGUUUGAACAUAUAUCAAUAAAGAUGGACGAACGUAAACUACUUCUCUUGUGCAUGCUGCCUUUGCUGGUGCAAAAUAUGAGCUUCUUGCUCUUGGACUCUUCAGGAACCAGUGGCGAUUUGUCCCAUAUCUUCAAUGCUAUCGACAUUUUGAACAGAGCUAUUACCCUUGUUGAGUCGAACCCGCACAACUUUCGCGUGUAUCAGUCGCCAUGGUGGGUGGCUCCUCGACCGACCGACCUCUUCAACCACUUCGUUCUGGACGCUUGGCCUGAGGAAAUCGCCCCAAGUUAGUGGCGAGUGGAAACAUCCUGUAAAUGGCUAAAGUCCGCACUGGAAAGAGGCCCAUUCCCAAGGAGUCCAGGCUGUGGAAGCAUGAGCAUGAGCAUUUUACAUGGGUUCGAGUCCUUGCGGCCUCACUAACUCCAAUGAGUCCGGAGGCGCUAUGAGAAACAACCAAAAGGCAGAGAAUCAUGUAUCGUCUAAGGAUACCAAGCUUCUUUCGCAGCCGCUUCACCGAAACCGCGUACAGGUAGGCAGCCAACUUCUCAACGUUCGUGCCAAGCAUUGCUGCCUUCAUGUCAUUACCAGAGAUACCCGCAGCCAACCUAAGGCUUGCGUAUUUAAUGCAAUCCAACAAAACGCGCCCUGCACCUCGACUUCCACACAUGGUGUAGGCCGCCCAUUCUACACCAGGUGUAGAAAUUGCUCAAAGUGCUCGACAUAACAGCUGUAGUGCUGAGGGCGAAGCCGAACGCAUUGACAUGCUUGGCGAAGCUGGGAAGCGCAGCUGAAGGCCUCUUGGCAAGCAUUGCUGCUGCGAAGCCCCCACGUAAUCGCUAGUGCUGGACGCUGCACUGAUGGAGCUGCCGGCGGAACUUGACACGCUGCUCGGUGCAGGCAGCGUGUCCUUAGCCCCGGCCACCCUCCAGGCGCCGCAAGCGCGCCCCGUUGGCGCGCGGAGGCUGUUGAGGGUCAAGCUGUUGAGGGUCACCUGAGCCCCGACGCCGCUGCGCAAGGCGAUGAAAGCAUCCUGAUGCAUUUCGUUUUUUAAUCUCAUAAAAUAUAUCAAAGCCUGUGGUUAUUUUUACGCUGUCGCAGCCUGGUGAACUCCUGAGUUUUGCCGGAAUUUUGCCCGAGUUUCGGCUGCGUUUCUCGUGAGUUUCCGCCGAGUUUCCGCCGAGUUCCCCUGCGCUCCGCCCGCGCGUGCACACCAGCGACUACAGCGACUCUCAUGCACUCCAGCGAGUCCCACCCGCACUGCAGCCCAACCGUCAACUGUGUGAAACCCGUGUGCGCCCAGAGGCAGCUCAUGGAAACCGG